rnacentral:rRNA from 1 species
UACCAGCUCUCCGAGUGGUGUGGAUGUUUAUUGGGCCUAAAGCAUCCGUAGCUGGCUGGACAAGUCCCCUGUUAAAUCCACCGAUUUAAUCGUUGGUGUGCGGGGGACACUGUUCGGCUAGGGGACGGGAGAGGCAGACGGUAUUUUCGGGGUAGGGGUGAAAUCCUAUAAUCCCGGGAAGACCACCAGUGGCGAAGGCUGUCUGAUAGAACGCGCCCGACGGUGAGGGAUGAAAGCUGGGGGAGCGAACCGGAUUAGAUACCCGGGUAGUCCCAGCUGUAAACGAUGCAGGCUAGGUGUUUGGACGGCCACGUGCCGUUCUAGUGCCGCAGGGAAGCCGUUAAGCCUGCCGCCUGGGGAGUACGGCCGCAAGGCUGAAACUUAAAGGAAUUGGCGGGGAGCACCACAAGGGGUGAAGCUUGCGGUUU